GGCCUCGUGGCCUAAUGGCAUGGCGUUAGAUUUCGGUCAAGCUAAGAACAAACUUAGCACGAUCAGAUUUCUCUAAAGAUUGUCGGUUCGAAUCCGGCCGAGGUCG